AAAACAACUGCUCCACGCGAAGCGCACGGCUGUCUUGACUGAAGAGGUCUAUUUAUAGUAGCCUCGGGUAGUCUAGUAUAGGCCUUCUGAUUGGGUAAAAGUAAAGUAACGAAAUAGCCAAUGAAAACGUAGAACUUUAAGGGUAGUUUAUAUUGGCAUUUGUGACGACACACUUAAAUUAAUCCAAUCAUAAACGAAAUCUGAUUAACCUCAUUUGAAUACCGCAUCUAUAAAUGAAUGGGGCCUCAGUGGGAACGAUUAUUUUUCCAGGUGUCUGCAAUAGUAUUGCAACUAAUGCUGCAAUGCCUGAACCUACCAAGUCCGCUCCCGCCCCGAAAAAGGGCUCCAAGAAGGCGGUGACCAAGGCGCAGAAGAAGGACGGCAAGAAGCGCAAGCGCAGCCGCAAGGAGAGCUACUCCGUUUACGUGUACAAGGUGCUGAAGCAGGUCCACCCCGACACCGGCAUCUCCUCCAAGGCCAUGGGCAUCAUGAACUCCUUCGUCAACGACAUCUUCGAGCGCAUCGCGGGUGAGGCUUCCCGCCUGGCGCAUUACAACAAGCGCUCGACCAUCACCUCCAGGGAGAUCCAGACGGCCGUGCGCCUGCUGCUGCCCGGGGAGCUGGCCAAGCACGCGGUGUCCGAGGGCACUAAGGCCGUCACCAAGUACACCAGCUCCAAGUAACUUUGCCAAAUGCCCCUGAGUACCGAGGACUGGAUAAGGUAGAAGGGGAAAGAAAACCCCUUUCUGGAAGGAUGUAGCUUCUCCUGCACAAGGUUGCCUUAUUGUGGAGUGGGAUUCUGAAAUACUCAAAUGUCUAUUUUCCUCAUUGGAGCCAAACCAAAAAACUCCAACCUUCUAUGGAUGUGCCUGGUCUUGGACCCACUAGAAUCUUUCUCUGGGUUGCUGCAUGUACACAGUCUCUGUCCUGGAGGCUAAAGUUGGAGGUAGCUUCGAUCAGAACCAUGCCCAAGAUUUCCCUGCUGUUGCAUUGUUUGAAGCUGACAUCCUGUGUCUGUACACAGCUGCCACUGUUGUGUCCUUGCUCUGCUUGCUAUUGCCUCAUGCCAGGCCCUGUCCUGCCAUGACACCCUUCAUCCUAUCCAUGAAAUCCCAAGGCCAAGUUUGCUUCAAACUUUGCAGGAACAGACUUGGCCUGUAUCUGGAACAUAUUGUUCUCAGCUUGAACAUCUCCCCUACCUACCACAGAAGGAAAAGGUGAACACCUACAGCUGAGCCUUGGAAAUGUUUCCUGUGUUGACCUGAAAGAUCUUCUGAGACCUCAAGGAGACUGCCUCUAUUAAAAAGUGGAGAAAGUUGCCAUUUUCCUCCUAGGGUCUGGUGGAGUCUCCCCAUCUUGCAUCCCCAUUCUGUAAACCAUUUAUCCCUGCCCACCCUCCAAUUGACUCCAACUGAUAAGAAGGGAUGAAAAGGAACUGAGGGCUGUGGGGAACCCUGCCAGCUAGUGAAGCCCUGUGGCAGGAAAGUAUAUGUGGACAUAGAGUAUAUCUGACUUUUCUUCAGCCACUAAAUGGGUUGGGCUAUGAAUGACAGACAAUGGAAUGGCUGGAGUCUGCUGCCAUCAGAAGCUAGGGAGGAAGAUGAAGGACUGAACCACACAGACUGGAAUACGUGUCGGGUACAGUCAUAACUCUGUGUUCACUCUUGGUGGGAUGUAGGUAACACAGAGGAGUUUGUGGUCUUGUUGCUCACUUAUUGCAAUGCCUUUUACCCUCCUUUUCAACUGGUUCCUCCACUGAGUCCAAAGGCUGGCAAUAGGAGACAGUAUCCCAGGCUAACAAGGGCUUACCUGUUACCUUAGGGACCUCAUUGCUUUUAGCCUGUGCCCUUCCCUGCCAUUGCCCUCCCAGUGGUUGGUAUGUGGGAAACCCAUUUCCGUUCCUGUGACCCAUGUCUUGAACCAGGCAUAAGCAUCUGGUCUUUGUGAGGACAGUGGAAUCUGAGGCCUUUCCCUGCCCCGUCUGGUACCUGCUCCACAUUGUACCAGAUAUUGGACUCCUUGAUGCCCUCCUCCUUCCCUUUAUUCCUCCCUUCCUUCAGGUCUUGCAGCCAUGUACUGUAUCCAGCAUCACAGAAACCUCAACGUUUCUCCUCUGCUCUGUCUGGGGCAUAAAGAAGCCUUGCGGUGUGGUGAAAGGCUCUUCUUAUCAGGAGUACACUCACAGGCCAGGGGGCUGCCAUCUUCUUCACAGACAUUCCCAAAAGUGAAACCCCUUUAGGCCAGAAAGGUAAGGACUUCAUCUCAACAUAGAUUGGUGGUUGGCGCCAGCGGAGGGAGACACUUCUGGUU